UACAGAGGGUGCUAGCGUUGUUCGGAAUCAUUGGGCGUAAAGGGCGUGUAGGCGGUUUGUUAAGUCAUGUGUGAAAUCCCUCGGCUCAACCGGGGAACGACGCAUGAAACUGGCAAGCUAGAGUACCAAAGAGGGGGGUGGAAUUCCCGGUGUAGCGGUGAAAUGCGUAGAUAUCGGGAGGGAACACCUGUGGCGAAGGCGGCCCCCUGGUUGGAUACUGACGCUGAGACGCGAAAGCGUGGGGAGCAAACAGG
rnacentral:rRNA from 1 species